rnacentral:tRNA from 1 species
CCCUUCGUGGUGUAGUGGUCAGCACGCUCGAUGCGUAACCGAGAGGUCCGUGGUUCAAUUCCCGGCGAGGGCA